GGGAACCGUGGCCCACAUGCGCCUGCCCACUCCGGUGGUUCUGUUUGAGUUCCUUCAGGGUGGCUGGUGUCCAGAGCAGAAGGAGGCGUUACCCUGACCUCCCUCCUCCCAGAAUCGAGUUUUAUCGCUUAUGCUCAGAAAUCUGAGAUUGCUCUUGGAAUUCAGCACUAGCUUCAUGGAUUCUUCUCUGCCAGCGUGCAUCUUAUGGCCAACUGAUGACCAGGACUGGCUGGUUGGAUUGUCGUAAAUUCACAAGACAUGUUCAUGGAGACCUUGCCAAGGGUGUGACCACUUCUGCCAUUGCAUCAGAACUAGUGGAGGGAGUGUGGGCUGGCCAGCUUGGCCAAGGAUGUACAAAGUGAAAACACAGUGAGAAGGUGCCUUCGAUGAGCCAGGAAGCGGGUCGUCACCUGACAUGAAAUCUGCCACGCCUUGACCCUGGACUUCCGGCCUGCAGAACUGGGAGACAUACAUUUCUGCCAUUUAUAAUCUACCUUGUGAAUGGCAUUUUGUAUAGCUGUCAGGAUGGACUAAAACAAUCUUUGACCU
rnacentral:lncRNA from 13 species